rnacentral:rRNA from 1 species
AGUGAACGCUGGCGGUAGGCCUAACACAUGCAAGUCGAACGGCAGCACAGUAAGAGCUUGCUCUUAUGGGUGGCGAGUGGCGGACGGGUGAGGAAUACAUCGGAAUCUACUUCUUCGUGGGGGAUAACGUAGGGAAACUUACGCUAAUACCGCAUACGACCUACGGGUGAAAGCAGGGGACCUUCGGGCCUUGCGCGAUUGAAUGAGCCGAUGUCGGAUUAGCUAGUUGGCGGGGUAAAGGCCCACCAAGGCGACGAUCCGUAGCUGGUCUGAGAGGAUGAUCAGCCACACUGGAACUGAGACACGGUCCAGACUCCUACGGGAGGCAGCAGUGGGGAAUAUUGGACAAUGGGCGCAAGCCUGAUCCAGCCAUACCGCGUGGGUGAAGAAGGCCCUCGGGUUGUAAGGCCCUUUUGUUGGGAAAGAAAUCCAGCCGGCUAAUACCUGGUUGGGAUGACGGUACCCAAAGAAUAAGCACCGGCUAACUUCGUGCCAGCCGCCGCAGUAAGAC